rnacentral:rRNA from 1 species
GAUGAACGCUGGCGGCGUGCCUAAUACAUGCAAGUCGAGCGAACGGACGAGAAGCUUGCUUCUCUGAUGUUAGCGGCGGACGGAUGAGUAACACGUGGAUAACCUACCUAUAAGACUGGGAUAACUUCGGGAAACCGGAGCUAAUACCGGAUAAUAUUUUGAACCGCAUGGUUCAAAAGUGAAAGACGGUCUUGCUGUCACUUAUAGAUGGAUCCGCGCUGCAUUAGCUAGUUGGUAAGGUGACGGCUUACCAAGGCAACGAUGCAUAGCCGACCUGAGAGGGUGAUCGGCCACACUGGAACUGAGACACGGUCCAGACUCCUACGGGAGGCAGCAGUAGGGAAUCUUCCGCAAUGGGCGAAAGCCUGACGGAGCAACGCCGAGUGAGUGAUGAAGGUCUUCGGAUCGUAAAACUCUGUUAUUAGGGAAGAACAUAUGUGUAAGUAACUGUGCACAUCUUGACGGUACCUAAUCAGAAAGCCACGGCUAACUACGUG